rnacentral:rRNA from 1 species
AUUGAACGCUGGCGGCAUGCCUUACACAUGCAAGUCGAACGGCAGCACGGGAGCAAUCCUGGUGGCGAGUGGCGAACGGGUGAGUAAUAUAUCGGAACGUGCCCAGUCGUGGGGGAUAACGUAGCGAAAGCUACGCUAAUACCGCAUACGAUCUACGGAUGAAAGCGGGGGAUCGCAAGACCUCGCGCGAUUGGAGCGGCCGAUAUCAGAUUAGGUAGUUGGUGAGGUAAAGGGCUCACCAAGCCGACGAUCUGUAGCUGGUCUGAGAGGACGACCAGCCACACUGGGACUGAGACACGGCCCAGACUCCUACGGGAGGCAGCAGUGGGAAUUUUGGACAAUGGGCGCAAGCCUGAUCCAGCAAUGCCGCGUGCAGGAUGAAGGCC